GAUGAACGCUAGCUACAGGCUUAACACAUGCAAGUCGAGGGACCGGCGCACGGGUGCGUAACGCGUAUCGAACCUACCACAUACUCAGGGAUAGCCUUGCGAAAGUAAGAUUAAUACCUGAUGGUAUGUGAUGGCGAUGCGUCUGAUUAGGUAGUAGGCGGGGUAACGGCCCACCUAGCCAUCGAUCAGUAGGGGUUCUGAGAAGAAGGUCCCCCACAGUGGAACUGAGACACGGUCCAAACUCUACGGGAGGCAGCAGUGAGGAAUAUUGGUCAAUGGACGGAAGUCUGAACCAGCCAAGUAGCGUGCAGGAUGACGGCCUCCGGGUUGUAAACUGCUUUAGUUCGGGAAUAUGUACCGAAAGAAUAAGGACCGGCUAAUUCCGUGCCAGCAGCCGCGGUAAUAC
rnacentral:rRNA from 1 species